CAAAAUUUCACAAUACGUAUAUAAUUAUCUAUAGAUAAUUUAACAAAUACUCUAUACAAUCUUCAAAUGAAAUAAUCAAUAGAAAUGAAGACUGAUAACUCAACAUUCGAUAAUUCAACUGAAAAACAAAAACUGUCACAUCUGAGCUCGAGCCAACUGGCCACUUAUUCAACUAACAGUUGCUCGAGCCAAGAUCUAAAAACAGUGAUAACGUCAAUAAUAAAAGCGAAAUCCGAUGAAAACUGAAGCAUUUACAAAGAAAUUGUAAUCAGAAAGAAACGAAAACAAAAAAAAAAAGAUUAUAAGAAGCGGAAACUGAAAUGCGUGUCAACACAACCAUCCAAGAAAAAUGUGGUUAACCAUUGAGUGCAGUUGAUUUGACGCAAAAUUUUGCAUCAAUCACAUGUGAACAGUCUUCUGGUUGUAAUGGUGAAUCUGGUUGAGCGAUCAUUAUAUCGGCACAGUUUAUCGUAUCAGCCGAUGAACAUUGAUAGCAUUUUAUCGAACUGGCUACAGAAAUUGAAAGAUAGCAUUUUAUUUAAUUUGUUUCACCCAUCACAAUGGAAAAAAAGAGCCACCGAUCACGACAGUUAUUACGUUCAGAUUGACAGAAGGAUGAUAAAGUAAUGAGUGUAUGUUUGCAACCUAAUCCACUAAGAUGAAUACGAUUCCAAUAUUAUUCCCAGUGAUCUGUCGCUUGGUGCGAUCAUAAUUUACCUUCAAAACGGCCGAUAUGUUUUAUACAAUAUUUGGCACCAUACACAUUUGAACAAUCUUGCGGUACGAUAUCGGGCGUAUCGUAGCGUUCAAACCAUUCACCACACUGGAACGGUGACGACGAAUCGGUGGCAUUACAAACAUAACAACUGAUCGAAGUGGCUGGUUUUUUUUUUCGUUAUUCGAUCAUCAUUCGGAACACAUAAAACAGCACACAAACACAAAAAUAUAAAAUAAAAUGUAAACAAAAAAAAAGAAUUAAAUAUGGCAUUCGAUGCGGUCACAGUAGCUACACUCCAAUAGCACAUUGUUAUGGUUUAUCAUUUGCUGAAAUAAAUUUAUUAAAUGUUCGAAAAUCGAAUGCAGUUGAAAAAAAACCUACCAAUUUUGAUAAAACUGCAGAAUAAAACAGCACUAAUUAUUGUAUAGUUCCUCA